rnacentral:tRNA from 1 species
GUCUCGAUAGCUCAAGUGGUAGAGCAGCGGUGUAUGAAGCCGAAGAUCGUGGGUUCGAAUCCCGCUCGUGACA